CUGGAACAGUGAUUUGAAUUCUCGUUAUUCAAGGAAAAUUACCUUCUCUUGAUUUCCCGGCUGAAGUGCCCAUUUGAGUUGAUAAUUGAACCAAGGCUUCUGAAAAAUAAACCUGCCAUGGACAGAGACAGGAUGUGAAUACAAACACCGCUUGCUAAACACUCAAACCAUUUGUCCCUACGUGCACUCUGAAGAGUUGGUCUAAAAUGCAAUUUUUGAACUGAAACAACAAACCUUUUCUCAGA